CUUUUCGCGGUACAGGCACUCUUUGUCCAGCUGGAACACCCACCAGGUUUCAUGAAGUCGUAUUUUGACAGUUUGUAUAAUGAGGAGAUCAUCACAGAGGAAUCAUUCAACGCCUGGGAAAGCAGUGUUGAAGAGGAACGAGGCAAGCGCGCGGCCAUAGCCGCCAGUUCUGUAUUCUUCCGCUGUCUUAGAAGCAGCGCUGAAGGCGAGGACCUGGCGAGAAGAGUUUAACAAUUCACCGCGAAGUUGAAUAACUGGCUCUUAAAAAUAUGCAAUCAGUGGAACUUCGGAAGCAGACGCCGUAAAAUCCUGGUUUUUCUGCGUUUUUAUGAGCUUUUUCAGUGGGUGGUGGCGAAUGAAAGUAACCUUAGCUUACGUUUUAUAAUGAAUACUUUACUCUUCUCGACCACCACACAAGUUCACGGUUGUUAAGUUUAAAAAAUUAACGUUUGCCAAAUUGGAACAUUUCAAAUUGUACGUAGAGUUUAUAUAAAUAUCAGGUUUUAAUCUUAUCUCAAUCUGCGCUGCAGCUGCUGCUGUUGUUUUAACAGAUUCAUACCUAGCAGCUUUCACUUGAGUGUCGAAAAUAAUUGCAUUUGCUUUGGUUUUGCAUUUCAACGGUAGGAAAUUGGCUUAAAAAACCUCGCGCCACAUCGUCAUCCAAUCAGAAGUAAAUACAACACGAAUUGUUUCUCGCAUGCCGGGGUGUAUAUAUCGCGCUGGAAUUUUAAAGCAAUUUCAAUUUAGUUCAGCAGUUCACCCGAGGCCUAAGGGAUAGAGAAAGAGAGAAAAGAGAAACAAACAUCGAACAGUGGAGUCUAUAUCAUGCCGUGGGAAAUACAGUUUCUCCACUUCCCCACCUCCGCUACCCACCCCGGAGAUAAGAGCAAGUUAAUCGAACUGAUUUUAGUUUUGUCUGAAUUUGUUAUUCCCGUCGUAUUUGACCUCCUACUGUGAAUCGUCUGAAUUAGUUGUUAGAAGUAUAUUCGAGGAGGAAAUAAUUACGUUUCACCGCAAAAUAACUGACUAACCUUAUGUCAGAACGUGUAGAACAACAGUGAAUAGUUGUUGAAUAAAAAGUUUUCGUGUGCGUCAACUCAGUUAAA